rnacentral:lncRNA from 1 species
AUCAGAAAGAAGCAGGUACUAAGUAAUGGGUUGUUUUAUUAAAGUGAAAACAUGAAUACGUGAAAAAGUUGCCACUGUGCUUCUGUAAAACAGUAGCUGGCAGGGACUUCACCUAUGGGUGCGGAUUCGACAGUGUGUGAGAAACGUACAUAACUGCAAUGCCUGUCCUAUGCACAGGUGAAAAUACGGGACACCCUCAGUUACAGAAGAGGCUCACUGCUGUGUCUCCGCUGCCACAAUACACAGAGCUGUGGGACGCAGUGCCCAGAGCUGCACCAGCCUGCACGGAUAAACCUCAGACCUGGAACAUUAAGCACAACGAAUGGAAAACAAAUGUGAAAAAGGACCCUAAAUUUAGGAUACCAAUGAGCUCUAUGGAAAACAAAGGGGGAGAUCAGACCAAGAUUGGGCAGUUCCACGGCAGGCAAGUAUAUGUGAAAUGUUUUAUUUCUUUUAAAAAACUGUAACCAAAAAUGGUGGCAAAACUGUUACUAUUUGAGAAACAUUGGCAGUGGGUUAGGGCUAUAUAUAUCAGCAUCAUCAUCACUGUCACCAUCAUCACAGUAAACUAUAGCUAGUGUCGGACCUGGUGCCCCCACUUUGCCCCUUUGCCUGGAAUCUGUGACAGUGAUUACCACGGGCGGAAGCUGGUUCAGGGGUCUGGCCGAUGGCAGACUGCUCCCCAGCAAUGUUACCUGUUCUUGCCACUCAGGGUUUAAAUAACCCACAAGGCAGAAUCAAAGACUCUUGAAGUCUACAUACCUUUAGAUUGCUCUAUUCAUCUAAAUUAACAGCAAUAGUAAGGAACCCCAGA